rnacentral:rRNA from 1 species
CUGGGAUGUAUUAACCACGUUGAAUGCACCAGUUUCCCACGGAUCACUGAAGUUAAGCAACGUUGCUCGUGGUUAGUACCUGGAUGGUGACCAUCGGGGGAAUCGCGUGCUGCUGGGU